rnacentral:rRNA from 1 species
GACGAACGCUGGCGGCGUGCUUAACACAUGCAAGUCGAACGGUGAAGCGCCUUCCUUUUUGGUGGGUGUGGAUGAGUGGCGAACGGGUGAGUAACACGUGAGUAACCUGCCCCCUUCUUCUGGAUAACCGCAUGAAAGUGUGGCUAAUACGGGAUAUUCUGGGUCUGUCGCAUGAUGGGUCUGGGAAAGAUAUUGUUUCGGUGGGGGAUGGGCUCGCGGCCUAUCAGCUUGUUGGUGGGGUGAUGGCCUACCAAGGCGGUGGCGGGUAGCCGGCCUGGGAGGGUGGACGGUCACACUGGGACUGAGACACGGCCCAGACUCCUACGGGAGGCAGCAGUGGGGAAUAUUGCACGAUGGGCGCAAGCCUGAUGCAGCGACGCCGCGUGAGGGAUGGAGGCCUUCGGGUUGUGAACCUCUUUCGCCAGUGAAGCAGGCCUGCCUCGUUUGUGGGUGGGUUGACGGUAGCUGGAGAAGAAGCGCCGGCUAACUACGUG